rnacentral:rRNA from 1 species
GACGAACGCUGGCGGCGCGCUUAACACAUGCAAGUCGAGCGAAGCGGCGGACGGGUGAGUAACACGUGAGUAACCUGCCUUAGACAUUGGGAUAGCCUCGGGAAACCGGGAUUAAUACCAAAUGGUCUAAGAUGGACUCGCGUCCCAUUAGCUAGUUGGUGGGUAACGGCCCACCAAGGCGACGAUGGGUAGCCGGCCUGAGAGGUUGAACGGACACAUUUGAACUGAGAAAAGGUCAAAAAUCUGCGGGAGGCAGCAGUGGGGAAUAUUGCACAAUGGAGGGAAAGCUUAUGCAGCUACGACGCGUGAACGAAGAAGGCUUUCGAGUCGUAAAGUUCUUUUAUAUGGGAAGCGGUACCAUAAGAAAAAGCCCCGGCUAACUACGUGCCAGCAGCCGCGGGAAUUC